UGGCUCUCGCAUCGAUGAAGAACGCAGCGAAAUGCGAUAAGUAAUGUGAAUUGCAGAAUUCAGUGAAUCAUCAAAUCUUUGAACGCACCUUGCACCCUUUGGUAUUCCGAAGGGUACGCCCGUUUGAGUGUCAUUGUAAUCUCACACCUAUGGCUUUGUUGUCAGAGGACCGUGGACUUGGACUGUGGCCGUCAAGGCCUGUCUGAAAUGCAUAGGCUAUGGGACUUGUGCCAUCAGCGACGGAUUGUAGACAUCUUGUAUACCUCGUCGUGGCUGCAACCUCUGCGCCUUCGAACACCUGGAGACUCUUCAUUGUGUCUCUGGACUCUUGACAAUUUGACCUCAAAUCGGGUGGGACUACCCGCUGA
rnacentral:misc_RNA from 1 species